UCCCAAGUCUUCGAGUUCCCAAACUUGAAGACACAAUUCCUAACUCAGUUUAUAGAUCACUGAGACUAAAACAAUAACUUAUUACAACUCAAAGAACCUACUCACUACACAAAUUCUACAACUUGCCAAGUAAGAGAUCAGGUUCUUUCUUCAAGUACACACUACUUUUGACUUUGUUUCUUGUAUUUAAGCACCCACCUCAUGGAGUCCUUCAAUUGAUAUCAACUUCUGUAUUUAAUAGGACUCCAGAUAGUUUUCUGCUACUCUUUGCCACCUCUCUCUUCUUCUUUCAAUAGGAUUCCUCUUUUCUCUUUCUUCAAGACUCCUUGAUCAACUCAACUUCUGCACGUUUUGUUUUUCACUCAACUUAUGCAAGUCUUCUUUUUCCACUCAACUUCUAAUGUGAUAAAUGUUAUCCACUUCUAUUUGUAAGACAGGUCAUCAUAUCAAUAACUUAUCUACAGGUGACCUUGGUUCAGUUGGAUAGAACAACUUUUACCACAUAUUUCAUUCUCAUGUUUAUUAUCAAAACUCCAUAUGCUCUAACAAUUUUCCCCCUUUUUAUGAUGAAAAACAUAGCAGUAUCAUACCACAAACCUGACAUACUCACCAAGAAAUUAAGUAAAGGAAACAGAAUGAAACAUAGAUCAGUCAGUUGAGUUAUAAGCACUGUAUAAUCUUUUCUUCCCCCUUUUGACAUCAUUGAAAAACUAGACCAAUGAGUGAAACAAUUCUUAUAAUUCAUGGCCACUAGGGCUAUCACUAAAAUAUGAAGACAUUAGAGCAAAAAACAAGCAAUAUAUCAAUAAAACAGAAGUGAGCCACAUAAAACAAAAAGAGACCAUUUCAUUGAUAGAACGGAAUACAAUGACCAUCAUCCCAUGAUAAAUAAUAAGAAAGAACCAUCUUAACCAAAAAUUAGGAAUGAAAGAUGCCUAAGGAUACUAAGAGGGCUUAAGUGGAUAAGGAAGAAGGAAUAAGGGAAGUCACCUUCUUAAUGAUGUCUGUAUUUUCAACUCUUUCCUUUUCCAAAAGGGUUGUGAGGGAGGUAAUUUGAGCUUGAAGAACCUGUUUCUCCUCCUCAUGAGUAGUCUGAGCAACUUCCGAUGUAGUUUGUGCCAUAUCCACCUCACUUUGCUUGGCAACAAGGGCAUUCCUCAGCCUUUGCAUAGGAUUAUCAGCACUCCUCAUAGCAGCAGGCAACAUAGCAUGGUUCACAGACCCAAUGACAUCCUUUGUGGUCUGCAAUGACCAUACUUUGACAGGAAUAUGAAAGUCCUCAAAAACAGGGGCAAGCCAGAACUCAUAUGGAAAAGCAUACCCAUUUACAUCUUGAAUUAAAACCCUUUGCAUGUGCUUAAUGAUUAGUGUAGAAAGAUCAAUUGGAGUCUGAGUGUCUAGCAAUUCCAUCAGGGUGAGAUCAAGAAAAUUUGCUACUGUUCUCCUUUACUGCCUAGGAAGGAUCAUUUUAUGAACCACAUCAAAAUAGAAAUGGUGAAGAGGAGAUAUCUCAUUCUUGAGAACCCUUUUAUGAGUUAAAAGGAAAAGAUUUCUAGAGAAUUUUCUAGAAAUAUAAAUAGAUGAAGGAAGGUUAUUAAGAGGAGGCCAAGCAUCUUUCACAUAAUGACCCCAACCCCUGGUAGGAACAUGUAAAAUUCUACUCAGAUCAGCAGGGUAGAGAUUUAUGGUUUUACCAUGAACAGUGGUGGACAACAUCUCCCCAACAGCAACUCCAUUAGUGUAAAAUUCAUACACUUCAGCUUUCUCAAACUUCCUUUGAUAAUCACCUUGAAGAAACAGGUGUGACCACCCCUGAGCAUUCAGUUUAGUAAGAAACACAUCUAUAUCAGGACCUCCAAAACCAGUGACAACUCUACCCCUAGCCAACUUACAUUUUUGAAAGUAGAGAACUUGAACAGACAGGAAGGCCUUGGCAGCAGGAGUAUCAAAAGCAACAUCAUAGUCAAGAUCUGGAUCAGGUUGAGUAGAGGAAGUAGGAGGGAUAUCAAGAAGAAAAUCAGAAUCUGAGUUUGAGGAAUCAGAAGAAACAGGUUGGGAUACUUGUUUCUUCAGACUGAGGAUUUUGAAGAGCCUCUAAUGGAAGGAAAUCCUUUAAUAGUGGAGGCUUUCUCAGGAGAAGAUUUCUCCAUAGAUUUUAAGGACGACAAAGUUUUGGAAAUGGGUUGGGAUAGAGAUACAGGUAUGAAAAAGGAUUUUGAGUUUUUGACAAUGAGAUGCUUUCAUUUUUUUAGAACGAAGGAGAAUAUUAGGAGAAGGAUUACUGCGAUGUGGAGAACCAAAAGGAGAAACUCAUUUAUUUUUACUUGCAUGAAGUGCUUCUUCCAAUGAAGCAUCUUGUUGUUGUUUCUUUCCUUGAGUAAGAGGAAUCCGAGGAGAAACAACUACAGGAGAAGGCUUAAUUGAAGCAAAUUCAUCUACAUCAAUGACAAUAGAAGAGGGUUUUCGUUUAGAAUGGAUAUGGACCUUCAAGGGAUGAGAUUGGCAAUGGGUUUAUCAUCUUGAUCAACAAUUUGUAGUGGGAUUGGUGGAGGAAAUGACCGGUUGGAGUGAAAUGAGGUAUUUGGAGAAAAUUGUAUAAAAGGAUUUGGGAAAUUUCUGAAUGCAGCAAAAUUAGAGAAUUUUUGGGUAAUUUGAGGAGGAAUUAAUGGAGGUAAGGUGAUGUUUGGGUGGAUAAUAAUGGAGGUGAAAGUGUUUGUGGCGGAUUCAGGUGAAGAGGAUGAAGAAGAUGAUGAAGAGUCCAUGGCUACUAAGUCAGAAGGUUUUUGUGUUGUUAUAAAGAAGGUGUAGAGGGAAUACGAAAAAAAAACAUAUUUAAGAGUGAUUUAGAGGGAGUUGAAUCGUGUGAGGAAAGGAUUUGGAUAGAAACGCAAUGAUGAAGGGGUCUCAACUGAUGAGAAAAGGCUGGCAUCUUUUUGAGGCAGAUGACUUUUGGAGUUUUGGUGGUUUAAGUAUAACGGAAGGGACCAAGAAAAGAAACUUGUUUCUCUCUUAUGCAAUCAUGAAUAAGUGAAAAUCAUACCUGACCUUUGUAAACAAUGGUCAAAAUUUGCUUUGAUGGUUUUUCCUAUUUGUAAAAUCAACACAUAGCUGAGUUAAUUUACUCUAAAAUCUUGGAAUUAGGAUACACAACUAAAUGUGUAAGACUGAAUUAAUCAACUAUCACUUAAGUACAGUCUUUUCUAAUCAAUCAUUGGGGGAGAUUUAUAUAAUUUUAAUCAUCCUCAAGGCUAACCUAUUUCUUUCAAAAUAUUUUCUACUCAAGGCCUUAGUAAAUAUGUCAGCAAUUUGUUCCUCAGUUGAACAAAACAUAAUUGAUAUAUGACCUUUUUCUAAGAAAGUGAUGUCUAAUAUCAAUAUGCUUGGUUCUUUUAUGUUGAACAAGAUUUUUAGCUAUGUUAAUGACACUUGUAUUAUCACAAAAAAUAGGAACACAACCAACAUCUAUACCAAAAUCCAUAAGUUGUUGNNNNNNNNNNNNNNNNNNNNNNNNNNNNNNNNNNNNNNNNNNNNNNNNNNNNNNNNNNNNNNNNNNNNNNNNNNNNNNNNNNNNNNNNNNNNNNNNNNNNNNNNNNNNNNNNNNNNNNNNNNNNNNNNNNNNNNNNNNNNNNNNNNNNNNNNNNNNNNNNNNNNNNNNNNNNNNNNNNNNNNNNNNNNNNNNNNNNNNNNNNNNNNNNNNNNNNNNNNNNNNNNNNNNNNNNNNNNNNNNNNNNNNNNNNNNNNNNNNNNNNNNNNNNNNNNNNNNNNNNNNNNNNNNNNNNNNNNNNNNNNNNNNNNNNNNNNNNNNNNNNNNNNNNNNNNNNNNNNNNCUUAGGCUUAGCUUGAAACCUGGCACAUAGCCCUACACUAAACAAAAUAUCAGGCCUACUUGCAAUGAGGUAUAGGAGUGAUCCUAUCAUACCUCUAUACAUCUUUUGCUCUACAUCUGAACUAGUUUUAUCCAUGUCCAGCUUUAUGGCAGUGGCAAUAGGAGUACUAAUGUCCUUUGCUUUUUUUAUGGAAAAUCUUUUGAGAAACACUUUGACAUACUUCUGUUGGUGGAUCAUUGUCCCUAAAGCUGAUUGUGUUAUUUGUAAACCCAAAAAGUAAUUUAGUUCUCCCAUCAUGCUCAUCUCAAAUUCACUGCUUUUGAGUUUUGCAAAUUCAUGAGUCAUAUUCAUAUUAGUUGAUCCAAAUAUAAUGUCAUCCACAUAUACCUGCAAAACGAACAAAUUAUUUCCAUUAGUUUUUAAGAACAGGGUAUUAUCAAUUUUACCUCUGGAAUGACCGUUCUCCAAUAAAAACUUUGACAACCUCUCAUACUAAGCUCUAGGUGCUUGUUUCAGCCCAUACAAAGCUUUAUCCUGUUUAUACAUAUGAUCAGGAAACUCUUUGCUUUCGAAUCCUGGAGGUUGCUUGACAUAAACCUUCUAUUUAAGAAACCUAUUUAAAAAUGCACUCUUCACAUCCAUCUGAUAAAGUAUAAACUCCUUGUAGGCAGCAAAUGCAACAAGUAAUCUUAUAGCUUCCAAUCUUUCUACAGGAGCAAAAGUCUCAUUAAAGUCGAUUCCUUCCUCUUAGUUAUAUCCUUGGACCACCAACCUUGCCUUAUUUCUUGUGACUGUUCCAUGCUUAUCAACUUUGUUCCUGUACACCCACUUAGUUCCAAUUACUGAUCUAUCUUUUGAAAGUGGAACCAAGUGCCAUACUUUGCUUCUUUCAAACUGGUUCAGUUCUUCGUGCAUAGCUAUGAUCCAAUCAACAUCAAGCAAUGCUUCAGUUACCUUUUUUGGCUCUAUUUUUAACAGAAAUGCCUUGAAAGCAUACAUACUUCUUAGUCCAGAUCUUGUAGUAAUCCCAGAGGUGAGUUCAGUGAGAAUAUUUUCUAUGGGAUAUGAUCCUUGAUAUUUGUACCCUUUUGGAAUCAAGCCUAGUGAGCCACUAGGAUCACUGACAACAUUUUGAUCUGGGGUAGUUGGUGGCUCAGUUCCCCCUGUUACUAUGCUUUCAGCUUCAAUUCCCCCUGUUUAAGUGCCUCUAAGUUUGAUAGCUUCAGUCAAUGAACCGAGUUGUGCAACCUGUUCCUCAACAUCAUUUUCUUCCUGCAGGUUAGUCUUGACACAUGAUUCAUCAAAGAUCACAUGUAUGUUUUCUUCAAUACAGUUUGUUCUGCUGUUUAAAAUCCUAUAUGCUUUACUAUUAAGUGAAUAUCCUAAGAAGAUUCUCUCAUCACUUUUAUCAUCAAAUUUUCCCAAAUUAUCUUUUUCGUUAUUAUGAAUGAAACAUUUACAUCCAAAGAUUCUAAAGUGAGAGAUGUUAGGCUUUCUUCCUUUUAGUAAUUCAUAGAAAGUCUUCUCUACCAGAGGUCUGAUCAUGCAUCUAUUUAUGAUAUAUGUUGUAUUACUUAUUGCCUUAGCCCAAAGGUUUUUAGCAACAUUUGCUGCAAUCAUCAUUGUUCUAGCCAUAUCUUCCAAAGUUCUGUUUUUUCUCUCUACCACUUUAUUUUAUUGUGGUGUUCUAGGAGCUGAAAAGUUGUGAUCUAUACCAUUUGUUGAACAGUAUUUCAAGAAUUUUACAUUCUCAAAUUCUGAACCAUGGUCAGACCUUAUAGAAACUAAAGAAGUACCUAAUUUCUUUUCAAUCUUUUUAAUGAAUAUUUCAAAUACGUCAAAGGUAUCUUCUUUAGAGGCUAGAAACAAAGUCCAAGUAAACCUAGAAUAGUCAUCAAUAAUUACAAACACAUACCUUUUUCCACCUCUGCUUUGAAGUCUCAUGGGUCCACAUAAGUCUACAUGAACCAGUUCAAGGCACUUAGUUAUGUUAACAUGGUUCUUGGACUUAAAAAGAGGAUAUUACCUACUUCCCCCUUACAUAUGCACUGCAUAGAUUUUCUUCCUUGAACUUGUUCUUCGGUAAUCCCAAUACCAUGUCUUUGGAUAAAAAUAUGUUUAGUUAUUUCAGACUUGUAUGACCAAGUCUUCUAUGCCAAAGGAGGGGAUCAUUUUCUAUGGGACUCAGACAAGUCAGUUCAGUUCCUAGUAGUGCCAUGAUGUCAGCUUUGUAUACAUUUUUAUAUCUCCUUGCAGUGAGCACAACCUCUUUAGUAUCCAUCUUUUUUACCUUGACUCCUGUAGUUGUAAAAACAACUUUAUUACCUUUAUCACAUAGCUGUGAGAUGCUCAACAGAUUAUGCUUCAAUCCUUCUACAAGAUAGACAUCCUCCAAUUCUUUUGACUCUGAUGAUCCAAUCUUUCCAAUUCCAGUUAUGAUCCCCUUUUUUCUACCACCAAAGGAAACUCCUCCUCUAUUUAUUUUGGAGAGUGAAAGAAACUUUUUCUUAUCCCCAGUCAUGUGUCUUGAGCAAGCACUGUCUAAAUACCAGUGUCUUUUGCUUCCUUUUACUUUCUCCUGCAAAAAAGAAUUUAAGGGUUAGCCUUAGGAACCCAGACAAGCUUGGGUCCUGUUUUAUGAGUGAAAGGAUGAAUUAAAAUUCUCUUAGUCCAUGCAAGCAACACGUAGUGCAACUUAUUUCUCUGACUAGAACUGGUUUUGUUCCUUUUGGGCUGUAAAGAUUUGUUAGCCAGAUUUUGACUGUUUAAUCUGCUUUUUGCAGCUACUGGACAUUCAGUGGCGGGAUGUCCAAGGUUUCCACAAAUGUAACAUAAAUCUUUUGGUUCAUCAAAACUUUUGUGGAAUCCCAAACCUGCCUUUUCAUUGAAAUUUUUCUCACUUAAUUUGUUAACAAUUCUAGAGGAGUUUGUCUACCUGUUUGCCCUUUCAAGAUCCAAUUUUAGUUUAGUAAUUUCCUGACUCAACUUAUUCAUUUUUUCAGUUAAAUCAUGGCAUUCUUGUUUUUAUUUUACAAGCUCAAGUUCAGCAUCUUUUUGUUCUUUACUCAUGGCCUUCUUUCCAUUUUUAGUGAGAGUUAAUUUGAGAACUUCAGACCUAAGAUUAUUAAUUGAAAUCUUAAGUUCUGCAACCUAUUUCUUGAGACUGUAAUUUUCCUUGUCAACUGUGUCUGAGCAAGCCUUUAAAUCGAUGAGAUCAAAUUUAAGACUUGCUAGACUGUUGAACAAUUCAUCCCUAUCAUAGGUUAACUCUUACAAAUCAUCAAUCAAUGCACUCAUCAAGAAAACAAGUUUUGGCUUUGAGAACAAUUUCAGCUUUUCUUUGAGUUCAAGUAUACUUACCUUAGAAUCCUCAUCUUCUUCAUUCAGAUCUGAAUCCCCAAGGGCCAUGAAUGCAGUUUCAUCAACUUCAUCCUUAUCUGAAUAUGAUCCCCAGGCUGCUAUCAUUGCAUGCUCCUCCUUCCUUUUUACUUCAGCUCCUUUUCAGUCCUUUCCUUCUUCCACUCCAUUUCCCAGACUGGAUAGUCCCUAAUCUGAUGAUCAGUUUUGUCACAUUUGUAGCACGUAUUUGGAUUAUCAUUGAAACGUUUCUUAGUACCUGUUCCCUUUUUCUCUUUGAAAAAUUUGCUGAAGUUCUUAGUUAUGAAGGCAACUUGCUUUUUAUCAAGUUCAAAUUCCUCAUCACUAUCAGAAGUUUUCAAUGCCAAGAUUUUCUCAGGAGCUGAUCUUUCUUUGACUCCAUCAACUUCCAUUUCCUAAGUCCUUAGGUUCCCUACUAGUUCAUCCUGAGUCAUACCUUCAAGAUCCUUAUUUGCCUCCCUGAUUGCAGUCACCUGGACAUUCCAUUUUGAUUUGGGUAAUACCCUCAGAACCUUUUCAACUUGUUCUUCCUCAGAUAUGACUUUUCCUAAGAAAGUCAGCUCAUUUGUUAAAGUGGUAAGCCUUGUCAUCAUUUAAUGUAGGUUUUCAUUUUUCUUCAUUUUGAAUGCCUCAUACUCAGUAAAAAGAAGAGAGAUCCUGAAUUUUCUUACUUGAGACGUGCCUUUAUGAGCAUUUACCAGUGCAUCCCAAAUUUGCUUAGCAAUAGAGUAGGCGGAUACUCUAUUGUAUUCAGCAGGUCCUAGUCCACAGACCAAGAUGUUCUUAGCCUUUGCAUUUUUCUUCAAGGACAACUAGUCAUCAGGAGUAAAUUCACUCCUUACCUUUUUAAAUUGUACACCAUCAACCGUCUUCAUUGGAAUAGUGAGACCAUCAGUAAUCCUAUCCCAUAAUUCAUAAUCUUCCCCUUGAAUGAACAUCUCCAUCCUUGCUUUCCACCAGAUAAAAUGAGAGCCAUCAAGGAGUGGAGGUCUAGUAGUUGAAUGACCUUCAUUGUGACCAGUAGGAGGUGCGGAAUUCAUCAUAGUGAUCCUUUCUUAGGUACUAGCCUUAUUUAAGACAUCUGAUACCACUUAUUUAAUUGCCUAUAUAUGGAACAAGUCAAUAAACAUGGUUCACAGAAGUAAAUACUGAACACAGUGUUUUUACGUGGAAAACACCCGGCUUAGGAAAGGUAUAAAAAACCACGACCUGUACCUCUACAGGAUUUAACCCAACUUCACUAUAAUACUUGAGACUCAACAAUCAAAAAAAUUACAAGACUUCUUGUAAACUAGGAAUUAAAACUUCUAACUCCUAUUACUACAAAAAUAUAAAUCUUCCCAAGAUAAGUGUUCCCAAGUCUUCGAGUUCUCAAACUUGAAGACACAAUUCCUAACUCAGUUUAUAGAUCACUGAAACUAAAACAAUGACUUAUUACAACUCAAAGAACCUACUCACUACACAAAUUCUACAACUUGCCAAGUAAGAGAUCAGGUUCUUUCUUCAAGUAUGAGAACUGAUAUGCUGAUUGUUGAUAUGCCUUUUAAGAGCUUCACACUAAUUUUAAAUUCGUUUCUUGUAUUUAAGCACCCACCUCAUGGAGUCCUUCAAUUGAUAUCAACUUCUGUAUUCAAUAGGACUCCAGAUAGUUUCCUGCUACUCUUUGCCGCCCCUCUCUUCUUCUUUCAAUAGGAUUCCUCUUUUCUCUUUCUUCAAGACUCCUUGUUCAACUCAACUUCUACACUUCUUGUUUUUCACUCAACUUAUGCAAGUCUUCUUUUUCAACUCAACUUCUAAUGUGAUAAAUGUUAUCCACUUCUAUUUGUAAGCCAGGUCAUCAUAUCAAUAACUUAUCUGCAGGUGACCUUGGUUCAGUUGGAUGGAAUAGCUUUUACCACAUGUUUCAUUCUCAUGUCUAUCAUCAAAACUCCACAUGCUCUUACAUAAAGCCAAAUUUUAAUCAGAGGUUUAAUUAACUUUUGUGCAUCACACAUGUAUCUCAUGUGCCACCCAUGCAUCUCGUGCGAUGUACGUGCAUCUUGUGCGAUUUACGUACAUUUUAUGUGCAUUUUGUGCGCUAUACAUGUAUCCUGUUGUGAGUUGAUAAAAAUAUUUAGAAAAAAUGAGGCCUCCAAAAAGUUGGGGCCUCAAUCCAUUGCUAUAAUAGCUUUAUGGUCGAGCCAGCCCUGAAUUGGGGUCUACACCUAACCCCCCCACCGCUACAGGAAAUACCUGUGCGAUCCGCUUAUAAAGAAAAAUACUCCAUUAUUAUAGAUUUAAUAACGUGGAAUUUG
rnacentral:lncRNA from 1 species